rnacentral:rRNA from 1 species
CAGCAGCCGCGGGAAUACAGAGGGUGCAAGCGUUAAUCGGAAUUACUGGGCGUAAAGCGCGCGUAGGUGGUUUGUUAAGUUGGAUGUGAAAGCCCCGGGCUCAACCUGGGAACUGCAUCCAAAACUGGCAAGCUAGAGUACGGUAGAGGGUGGUGGAAUUUCCUGUGUAGCGGUGAAAUGCGUAGAUAUAGGAAGGAACACCAGUGGCGAAGGCGACCACCUGGACUGAUACUGACACUGAGGUGCGAAAGCGUGGGGAGCAAACAGGAUUAGAGACCCCCGUAGUCCCUGUCUCUUAUAC